CGGCCCUCAUUCUCCCUGCAGGCAUCGCCCACAGGGACCUGAAGCCGGA
rnacentral:pre_miRNA from 1 species